rnacentral:rRNA from 1 species
GAUGAACGCUGGCGGCGUGCUUAACACAUGCAAGUCGAACGAUGAAGGGAGCUUGCUCCUGGAUUAGUGGCGAACGGGUGAGUAACACGUGAGUAACCUGCCCUUGACUCUGGGAUAAGCCUGGGAAACUGGGUCUAAUACCGGAUAUGACUGACCGUCGCAUGGUGGUUGGUGGAAAGCUUUUGUGGUUUUGGGUGGACUUGCGGCCGAUCAGCUUGUUGGUGGGGUAAUGGCCUACCAAGGCGACGACGGGUAGACGGCCUGAGAGGGUGACCGGCCACACUGGGACUGAGACACGUACCAGACUCCUACGGGAGGCAGCAGGGGGGAAAAUUGCACAAUGGGCGAAAUCCUGAUGCAGCGACGCCGCGUGAGGGAUGACGGCCUUCGGGUUGUAAAACUCUUUCAGUAGGGAAGAAGCGAGAGUGACGGUACCUGCAGAAGAAGCGCCGGCUAAUUACGUGCCAGCAGCCGCCGCCGUAA